rnacentral:lncRNA from 1 species
AAUUCAAGCAUUUGCAAAAGGCAUGCUCAAAUAGGAAUCAGAUUCUGCAAAGUUAGAUGAGCAGAAAGGGUAAAAAGUGGAAGUGACAAUACCCAAAUUAGCAUUGUGUAAUUGGGAGAUCUUUCUCCACUUUGAUUAGUGGAUCUUUUUCUCAAUGACACUAUCUCAUUGGGUCGGCAUAUCUUCAACGUAAAGGUUUACAUUCCCUCUCUUCAAUGUGCUUUUGCUACGCUG